rnacentral:rRNA from 1 species
AGAGCGCAAGGGGAAUGCCUUGGCAUCAGGAGCCGACGAAGGACGUGACAAGCUGCGAUAAGCUACGGUGAGGAGCAAAUAUCCUUUGACCCGUAGAUUUCCGAAUGGGGCAACCCACGUGGACAAUAUCCACGUAUCCUGCAUUGAAUCAAAUAGGUGUAGGAAGGGAACGGCCUGAACUGAAACAUCUAAGUAGGGCCAGGAAAAGACAUCAACCGAGAUUCCGCAAGUAGUGGCGAGCGAACGCGGAGAAGGCCAAACCGGAGGAUUUAUUCUCCGGGGUUGUGGACAGUCACACGAAGUAAUAGUUUAGCCGAACGGUCUGGGAAGGCCGGUCACAGAGGGUGAGAACCCCGUAGGCGAAAGACGAUGUGCUUCAGACUGAAUCCAGAGUACCGCUGGACACGUGAAACCCGGUGGGAAACAGGGGGGACCACCCUCCAAGCCUAAAUACUACCUGAUGACCGAUAGAGGAGCAGUACCGUGAGGGAAAGGUGAAAAGGACCCCGGGAGGGGAGUGAAAGAGAACCUGAAACCUUGUGCUUACAAGCACUCAAAGCACGUUAAAGUGUGAUGAGGUACUUUUUGUAGAACGGUCCGGCGAGUUAUUGUAUGUAGCAAGCUUAAGGUAUUCAGUACCGGAGGCGAAGCGAGAGCGAGUCUGAACAGGGCGAAAUGAAGUUGCAUGCAAUAGACCCGAAACCAGGUGACCUAUCCAUGAGCAGGUUGAAGUGGAGGUAAAACUCCAUGGAGGACCGAACCGACCCCCGUUGCAAUGGUGGCGGAUGACUUGUGGAUAGCGGAGAAAUUCUAAUCGAACUUGGAGAUAGCUGGUUCUCCCCGAAAUAGCUUUAGGGCUAGCGUUGAUUUAGAUUACCGGAGGUAAAGCACUGAAUGGGCUAGGGGCUGAUAAAGUUACUGAACCCUAUCAAACUCAGAAUGCCGGCUAAUUGAUGAUCAGCAGUCAGACUACGUGAGAUAAGUCUCGUGGUCAAAAGGGAAACAGCCCAGACCUACAGCUAAGGUCCCAAAUAUACGCUAAGUGGAAAACGAUGUGGAAUUGCGAAAACAACCAGGAUGUUGGCUUAGAAGCAGCCACUCAUUAAAAGAGUGCGUAAUAGCUCACUGGUCGAGUGACUCUGCGCGGAAAAUGUAACGGGGCUAAGCGUAUAACCGAAGCUUAGGAUGCAGCAAUGCGUGGUAGGGGAGCGUCGAAUACGGGGUGAAGUCGUAGCGGAAGCAGCGGUGGACUGUAUUCGAGUGAGAAUGCCGGAAUGAGUAGCGAGAAUUAUGUGGGAAUCAUAAUGGCCGAAAAUCUAAGGUUUCUUGGGGAAGGUUCGUCCGCCCAAGGUUAGUCGGGAGCUAAGCUCAGGCCGAAAGGCGUAGGCGAUGCACAUACGGUAGAAAUUCCGUAACCACCGAACUUUAAGCUAGAGGGACGCUUUCUUUAAGGUUAUCCCGGGCGAUGGUUGCCCCGGGCGUAAGGGACCGAAAUUUAGUAGGGAAGUAACUGGCGAGAGAGACGAGAAAAGCUCUAGUGUAUACUAAGGUGCCCGUACCGCAAACCGACACAGGUAGAAGGGAUGAGUAUUCUAAGGCCAACGGGAGAAGGGUUGUUAAGGAACUCGGCAAAUUGGCCCCGUAACUUCGGGAUAAGGGGCGCCUGCGAGAGCAGGCCGCAGUGAAAAGGCCCAAGCGACUGUUUAGCAAAAACACAGCUCUCUGCUAAAUCGAAAGAUGACGUAUAGGGGGUGACGCCUGCCCGGUGCUGGAAGGUUAAGGGGAGUGCUUAGCGCAAGCGAAGGUGCGAACUUAAGCCCCAGUAAACGGCGGCCGUAACUAUAACGGUCCUAAGGUAGCGAAAUUCCUUGUCAGGUAAGUUCUGACCCGCACGAAUGGCGUAACGAUUUGGGCACUGUCUCAACAGCCCGCCCGGCGAAAUUGUAGUACCGGUGAAGAU